UACGUAGGGUGCAAGCGUUGUCCGGAAUACUGGGCGUAAAGCGUGCGCAGGCGGUUUUGUAAGUCUGAUGUGAAAUCCCCGGGCUCAACCUGGGAAUUGCAUUGGAGACUGCAAGGCUAGAAUCUGGCAGAGGGGGGUAGAAUUCCACGUGUAGCAGUGAAAUGACGUAGAGAUGUGGAGGAACACCGAUGGCGAAGGCAGCCCCCUGGGUCAAGAUUGACGCUCAUGCACGAAAGCGUGGG
rnacentral:rRNA from 1 species